rnacentral:lncRNA from 1 species
UGAAAUGGCCGAGGCCUUUUUUUGGAGGACAGAUGGUGAUGAGUGUUCAGUCAAGCCUGCGCAGUAUGCUAAGCCCGUGGUUACUGAAUUAAGCUAGAGAUUUCCGUCCAUUUUCUUGUUCCGAGGGUGGAUCUGGGUCUCGUUACCCGUAUGCUAUUACUUUGUGUUUGACGGUUUGACCUGAGUACUUGGUUAUAUUACAGUUUUGGAUACCCUUUGCAGUAUUGUUCGUGGAUUUCUACUGCAAGCUGCAGUAUUUUCUGGCAAUAUUUGAAGAUUCUUGAUGCAGCGUUGUAGCUAAUUUGCUAUUCAAAACCUAUAACCGAGUACAUCUGCUUGCACAGCAACACACGAUUGUUUGUUUGUGUGGCUGGUCCAU